GUCUAUUCACUCCUAAUCAGCCCUUUCAUAGCUUCUACCUUCCUGUAUGAGGGUUUUUGUAACCCCUCCCAGAAGCUUGAUAAGGAGAAUUUACAACACAAUAGGCCCUUAACCUGUAUAGGGUUGUAGACUAGAAAAAAAAAAGCUACAGGCAACCUAGCAAUUGACUCAAAGAAAGAAAAAAUGUGGCUACAACCAAUGUCUGCUUUACUUCGAAAUUGGCUUAUAAGUUCAAUGACCAAGUGCAUUGGAUUUUUAGUAGGUGUUCCUCUAGGAUGGUAUUUUUCAGAAACUAUAAACCUCUUCGUGACCAUUAUAUUCAUCUUCCUUGGGAUUGUAAUUGUUGUACUUACAAUGAUAUACCUAACCUCUAAGAGAGAACACUCCCUUGUUCCUUCUAUUACUAAACAAAUUAAGGAAUUACACACUUUUAUGGGAAACCAAAUCACGGAGCAAUAUAAUAUCACUGAUCAACGUAUUAGGGAACUCCACACUUUUAUUGGGGAGCAACUUCAGGAACAGAAUAAUAUUUUUACUCAAAAAGUUAGGGAACAGAAUAUUAUAACUGAUCAGAGAAUUACAGAAUUGCACACAUUUAUUGAUCAGCAACAUAAAGAAUUGAUUACUAUCACUGAUCAAAGAAUUCGGAACCAAAAUGCUUGUAUUGAACAAAUUAAAAAAGAAAUUACUCUUAUUUAUCAACAAUUGAUGGAACGGGAUGAAGUUAGGGAGGAAACAUGGCGAGAGAUAAAAACUUCCCUGGCUGAACUUAAUCAGGGAAGAUGGGGAGAGAUAAAAACUUCCCUGGAUGAAAUUAAACAGGACAAAUGGGGAGAGAUAAGAACCUUCCUGCAAAACAUUGAUAGGGAGUUAAAAACAUCCCACAAUAGGAGUGAUUUAACUCUCCAUCCCCCAUCAUUAUCAGACUCCCUGACCAACCCUGCCCAAAAUGAUUUGGCUCAAAUAGAAGCCCCUUCACACCAACCAGCUCCUCCCCAUCCUGACCACCCAGCCCCUCCCCCUGCCAUUCUUGCCCCUCCC
rnacentral:lncRNA from 1 species